UAUAAUGCAUGUACACACUGACACUGCGCACAACAUACACAUAUAAUACAUAUACACACUGACACUGCGCACAACAUACACAUAUAAUACAUAUACACACUGACACUGCGCACAACGCACACAUAUAAUGCAUGUACACACUGACACUGCGCACAACAUACACAUAUAAUACAUAUACACACUGACACUGCGCACAACAUACACAUAUAAUGCAUAUACAC